AAAAAAAGUAGCAACGCGGGGCAUCUCCUCAACUAUACAUUAGUUUAUUAUUAUUCAUAGUGCUUGACUUCUUGAAUUUUUUACCUAUCAAGGAUUAGUUCAAUUGGCUUUGUUUUUUUUUUUUUAAUUCUAACAUUGGCUUUGUUUUUUUUUUAAUAAUUCCCCUAUAAUGUGGGGUGAGUGAUUAUUUCAGUUGCUACCCGUGUCUCUGGCGGAUCUAUAGAGGCACAAAGGGUAGCAUGUGCUACCCUUUUAAAAAUAUAUAAAUAAAUAAAUAAAUAAAAUAAAAUAAAAAAAGGAAAAAAAAUCAACGGUAAUCUGCUAUUCGGCUUUCUCUUUCUUCACAAAAUACAACCCUAAAACCCCUCUUCGCCUCUUUCUCUCUCUUCGUCCCUUCUCCUUCCUCGGUACUCCAAUCUUCAGAUCCGGCGACCGGCGACGGCUGGUCAUCUCCUAUUCUCCUUUUUGCUUUGUUGAAGACUUGAAGUUCCUCUUUUCAAGUUCCCUGCUCAGUCACGGUCUCACAGAGUCACCGAUUCACGACCCAAGUUCUUCUCGGCGGCAAGUCGACGACCUGACGGAGUGACGGUGUUCAGGGGGUGCUCACUGUUCAGUGUUCUCGACCUCCAAAUCCUCCAAGGCUCCAAUUAAGGUUCAUAAGUUUUUUUCCCAUUUGGGGAAAUCUAGAGCUAGGGUUUCGCUUGUUUCUUCCUCUGCUUCUUCUCACUCUCUCACCAUGGCCGCACUCGCAGCUCAUCUUCAAUUCCUCUUCUUCGGAUGAUGAUUCUUCCAUCAGAGUUUCGAUCUCUUCUGUUACGGAUGUUGGAGGAAAAUCUAAUCAUGAUAUUUGGAGUCUAGAGAUUCUAUAGUUUUCUAUGGUUGUAGCAAUGGCAGCAGUAAUUUCAUUUCUUUUUAUUUCAUGCCGAUAAAUUCAGUUUCUAUUAUUUGCGGUGUGAAGUAGUUUCCUCCUGUUUCUCUCUGAAAUAGGUAGAAGAAGGAAGAUGGAGCAAGGUGCUCGAUUCAAGUUUGAGGUGAAUAAAACUCAGAUUUGUAGGUGGCUUGGCGAUUUUUUUUUGGGUUUGCAGCAAGAUGACGAGACUUCUUUAAUGGAAGCAAGAGGACGAUGAGCUUUGGAAACAGUUCGAGGCUACACAAAAUGAAUGAAUUUCAAAUCUUGCUUCAAGAACCCAACAAUGUCGGCCAUGUUUGGUUGCUGAAGUUGCUGAUUUCCCACCUUCUGAUGAUUCUGAACAAAACCCAGAUGAAGAAACUGCUUCUACUGCUGCUGUUGUUGCUGCUGAAGAGAAGAAAGAUCGAAGAAAGGCAGUUAGAAUUGCGGGGAGAAGCUUGUUCGUUGGUCUCGUCUUUGCGUUCUUAGUCUAAACCUGAUGUUCCUCAAUGCACUAAAAAGGUCUCUUUCUUUUCUUUUAUAAUUUUUUUAGGGUUAAUUUGUUGUAUUUUUUUAAUUGAUAUAUUAUUAUAUUUGCAUUGGUAAUGUUUAGUUUUUGAAUUGGGGUUGAAGGUUUAUAGUAGGGAUAGCAAUUUGUAGGUUUGAUUGGAUAAUGAUAUUAAUGCAAAAAGUGUCCUGUUUCUCAAUCUUGUUUGAGUUUAUGGUGAUUUUGAUUAUGGGUGUAUGAGGAGUCGCAAAGGGCAAUUGUCUCUCUUUAGUUUCAAUUGUCGAAAAGCAACUGCAUACGCAAUAUAUGACAGGGCAAUAAUGAUAGGUCUUAUGUUGCAUAUAUACAGAAGGAAAGCAACUAAUGAGAACACAACAAUACAAAGUAGUAUUAGAGAUUUUGAGGUGCUUGAAAUGGGAGAGGUUAGUGGCAGCACGUCAAUGCGGGGAGUUUAUUGUAAAUAAGAAAUUAUUUUGUGUAUAACUCUUUUCUGAAUAUCAAGUUCUUAACACGAGAUCCAUUGUGUUUUUUUAGAAGGUUUUUUCUCUCUCUGACUCAAAACUCAUAGAGGUAUUGUGUUCAUUACUACUGGUGUUUUCUUUGACGAACAAAACUAAGCAUCAAUUUUGUGAAAGUUGCUUAGGUAUUUCCAUAUAAUGUGAUGCUUUGAUAGGUUUGAUUUUGUGGGAUCUUUUUCUGGGAUGGCCACGAUUUUCUGGUUACUAUGGAUAAUACACAGCAUUAUUGUGCAAGAUCGGAAUUCAGAUUUGGUUCUAUUUCUCUCUCCCCAUUUUUUUUCUUCUAAUUUUUUAUAUGGAUGAAGAUUUAUUCCUUGCAGGUGUGAAUUGUGGUUUAUUCUUGUCUUCAAAUAUAUGGCCUAAUGCUAAAUUUAUUAGCUAACAUAAUCUAAAACAUGGGAUUGGUUUUCUGUUUUACUAAAGUAUGUUUUAGUAUGAUGUUGUGGUCAAUUAUAUGUUCAUUGAUGAAAGAAUUAGUUAAAAAGGCUGUUUUUUUAGAUGAAAAAAAAUUAUUUUAGUUGAUUAUUUUAGUUAAAACUCAUUCACUGAAACAAGAGGUCAGAACUCAAAAGUGAAUUAUGCUUAAACUUUCUGCAUUGAGGUCCCUUUUCUUCAAAAAUCCCUUUAACUGAUUGUCGAUUACUUAUUUUCUGUCUUGACAUUGUUUCUAGAUUUUACAACUCGAGAAUAGGUUACAGAACCAAUUCGUUGUUCGGUGUGCUUUAGAAAAUGCAUUAGGUUCUAGAGUGUCCUCCUACGAGAAAAAUGAACCUUCUACAGUCCCAAAGCUUGCAACAAAUUUUAUAAAGGAAAUUGCAGUGCUAGAGUUGGAAGUUGGGUAUCUGGAGCAGUAUCUUCUGUCACUAUACAUUAAACGUCAUCAAUUUCUCCAACUAUAAAGAUUCAGAAAUUAUCCUCUACAUCUACAACUGUCAGGGAUCAAAGACUCAAGUCUCCUCUAGUUAUUCCACGUCGACUUUUUUUAGAUGAAGAUGUAGCUGAAACUGCAACAAAGGUUGAAUAAUCAACAUUUUAACCACGUUGACUAUAAUUAGUUUACUAGGGUAAUUAGUUUGUUAAACAAGGGUGAUCUAUUUUUACCUACUCAUCUUAAGACCAAUGUUCUAAAGGAAAAUGUACAUAAAAAAAUUCAAUAGUCUAAAAACUUUUCCUAAUUUUUUUGGUAAGGGAAUAAUAAAUUAACUUAAUUUCAAAGAGUUAUAUUUUCAUUAA